AUUCACAGUCGGAUUCAAUGUCAGCCGUCAGAUCGUGCCAACAAAAAAAAACUCUUCCAUUUAGUUCUCCCACCGGCAACCAACUACAGCCGUCCGAUCUCACUUCAAAUUGAUUUGGGCCAUUGGAUCACGUGUUUGAAGUGGGCCACUAUUGCUAGAUAUGGAUUGGAGCUUCCUCAGCCAUCUGAUCAUGUAUUUGGUGCGAUAUCAACUG
rnacentral:lncRNA from 1 species